AAGCAUCCCUGCCGCAUCAGCAACAAACACCGAACAAGGCCGUCCUUCACAGGAGCGGUGCGAUAAAACUCCGACCAGACACAGGGCACCGGGAUGGAUCAAGCAGGUCCGAGGGGCAGAAGAGGCCAGCAUCUCAAUCCCAGGACCAACAUGUAACUCAGAGGGACAGAUUGGGGGGGAGGGAAAGAAAACACAGGAUCUCUUCGGCGCUUUGGUAUCAAGAACCUGGAGGAAUUUUGGAGGAACACUUUCAUGAUUGCUGCAACUACAACCUGGAAAUCUUCAGGACGUUUUGAAGCUAAAUUCUUUCAUUCCUCUUAACGACUUUUGGAGAUACUGUAUAACUAAUACCUCGGGGUCAGCGGGACACAUGACUUUCAACCCUGUUGCGCUUUUUUCAUGAGAUAUACAGUACUGUGCAAAAGUCUUGGCACCGUUUUUUUUCAUACAGACUUUGUUAUAGAUUUCUAUUUUAUGACUUCUACAUUAUCAAGUCAAAACA